UUCAGCAUUCUGUCAGGAGAGGAUGACAAUACCCCAUGAUCCUCAAACUAAGAACUGCUGGUGACUUUAUCCCCUCAUGCUGGCAUAGAUCUUAAUCAACCAGAAAACCUCAAAAUGACAAACAAACAAAAGACAGCUUUGCUCUCCAAGGUUCAUUAGCUCAGGCCAAGGUUGAGAAGACGCAGCAGAAACAGGCGAGCUUGGAUUUGAUUGAAACUGGCUGAGAUUGAAGAUCAACUGCCUUAAGAAUGGAAGUUCUCUCAGCUUGUCUGCAAAUCUCUAUCCCUAGACCGUCUUCAUAUCUGGACGUGCGAGUCAGGAACAGCAAGGUUUGUUGAAAAGAACACUGAAUAUGGACCCCAAAUGCUUUUGUCUUUGCCAUUCGUCACUAAGUGAUCUUAGGCAUUCUGCAGCUCCUUCUACCAAUCUUAAAUGUCAGAUGAAUUUUGAGCCACAUGCUGUGUUAGGCUCUGUGGGAAUGAUAAGAACAUGGCAGAUAAUGGACCUUCCCCUGAUGGAACUUCUAGUGGGGACAUAAGCCAUAAACACACCAGUUUAUUAUAGGCUAAAGAUUACAUUUGAGAAAAUAUAGAAUCCCGUGAGGCCGCAAAAGGGGAGCUUGUACUGAAUAAAACAAUCUUUAGUCAAAAAGUUGUAUCAACUGAUGUUGGAAGGAUGACUUCUGAUGAAAUGAUCCAAGGAGUGGAAUUGGCAGAGAGUAGAGCUCCCCAGGGAAGUUACUUAACAACAUGGCCUCAGUUUACCUUCGUGAGCUUCCAAAUCACUGUGGAUGGUGACUGCAGGCAUAAAAGUAAAAGACGUUUGCUCCUUAGAAGGAAAGCUAUGACAAACCUAGAUGGUGUAUUAAAAAGCAGAAACAUCACUUUGCUGACAAAGGUCUGAACAGUCAAAGCUAUGGUUUUUCUAGUAGUCAUGUAUAAAUGUGAGAAUUGGAUCAUAAAGAAGGCUAAGAAUCAAAGAAUUGAUGCUUUGAACUGUGGUGCUGGAGAAGACUUUUGAGAGUCCCUUGGACUGUAAGGAGAUCAAACCAGUCAGUCUUAAGGGAAAUCAACACUGAAUAUUC
ensembl:lncRNA